ACGUGCUCCGGGGUCGGUGAGAAUCCGAACCGGCGGUGACAGUCCGCGAGCCUAGGCAUCAGCAUCCGUUUCGGAUGCCGCCACGGCCGAUCCGGUGGAAUUCCGGAACCGACGGUGAUGCGACAGGUCCCCUCAGGGAGCAGGUCGCUAGUCCGGAUGGGAGGCAGCACAG
rnacentral:ncRNA from 1 species